AUGUGGGGACUGUGUGUGUGUGGGAGAUGUAUGUGUGUGUCUUCCACACAAGCACCUCACACACAGAACAAGGUGGGUAACAAACACAGAACAAGGUGGGUAACGGACACAGAACAAGGUGGGUAACGAACACAGAACAAGGUGGGUAGAAGAACAGAACAAGGUGGGUAAAGAACAAAGAUCAAGGUGGGUAACGGAGAACAAAGAGCAAGGUGGGUAACAAACACAGAACAAGGUGGGUAACGGACAAAGAGCAAGGUGGGUAACAAACACAGAACAAGGUGGGUAACGGACAAAGAGCAAGGUGGACAAACACAUUUAAAGGAAGCGUUCUGUGUUUUCCAACUUAACGUUAGAUGGUUCCUCACCCUGAAAGUCUAUGGGCCAGGAGAAUCUGGAAUCCAUGGUUCAGUUUUCUUUACAGCCACUACUAAUGUAGCCAGUGUUAACUUUAGCCAUUACUCCUCCCAUCUCCUCCUCUCCUCCCUAUUGUCCCUCUCCUCCUCUCCUCCUUCCUUCUCUCUUGCUCCUCUCCUCCCCCUGUCCCCCGCUCCU